rnacentral:rRNA from 1 species
GAUGAACGCUGGCGGCGUGCCUAAUACAUGCAAGUCGAGCGAAUGGAUUAAGAGCUUGCUCUUAUGAAGUUAGCGGCGGACGGGUGAGUAACACGUGGGUAACCUGCCCAUAAGACUGGGAUAACUCCGGGAAACCGGGGCUAAUACCGGAUAACAUUUUGAACCGCAUGGUUCGAAAUUGAAAGGCGGCUUCGGCUGUCACUUAUGGAUGGACCCGCGUCGCAUUAGCUAGUUGGUGAGGUAACGGCUAACCAAGGCAACGAUGCGUAGCCGACCUGGGAGGGUGAUCGGCCACACUGGGACUGAGACACGGCCCAGACUCCUACGGGAGGCAGCAGUAGGGAAUCUUCCGCAAUGGACGAAAGUCUGACGGAGCAACGCCGCGUGAGUGAUGAAGGCUUUCGGGUCGUAAAACUCUGUUGUUAGGGAAGAACAAGUGCUAGUUGAAUAAGCUGGCACCUUGACGGUACCUAGCCAGAAAGCCACGGCUAACUACGUGCCAGCCGCCGCUGUAA